CAGAUUCCGUGCUGGUGGUGGGGAACACCAGAGUGGGGAUUGAGAUGAAGUUUGGCAACAAGGUGUUCCCGAUCAUAAUUUGUCCGGCCUGGAUCCCCGAGUUGAAUGCUGUGGAGCAUGGAACAGAGGGCAUCUCCUUUGGGGCCUCCUGUACACUGAGCUCCUUGGAGGAGACACUGGAAGCAGUCGUGGCCACUCUUCCUGCCCACAAGACGGAGGUG